rnacentral:lncRNA from 1 species
UCUGAGCCCUGCCUGUGCUGGGUCCCUCUGGCACAGUCUGGGUUUUGUUUCUGUCCCAGUGGGGAGAGGAAAAGGGCUGAUGGCCACGUGGAGUGCAAACCCAUUCCCUCUUGCAGCUCUGAGCUGCAGCCUCGGUCUGUACACAGCCCUACAGCCAGCAUGGGGACAGGACCUCCUGCUGUUUGGCUCAGGAUUUGUUUUUAAGUAGAAACAAAUGACAGCAUGGCAAAGGAGGAGAAGACAACAGUAGGAAAGUGAUAGGUUUUACUUCAGAAAAAAAGGAACUGCUUCAAGCAGUAUUUUGAUCCUGCUUUUACCCAGGCUUGUGGGAUGAGGACAGCAGCUCUCUGGUCCCUGUCAAACUGCCUGCUGAUGGGUUCUCUGUUGAGAAGGCUUAUGCUUUUUUUAACAUCUGAUAAGGCUUUCCUGUAUUUACGUAUCGUGUUGGUGUAAUUAGUUAACUAAAACUCUUUUAAAAUCUGAUAUAAUGACACGAGCAGCUGGCUUUAUGCAGGUGAACUGUCUGCCUUCCUGAAGUUACUGCAGCACACGUGACAGAGGACACGAGAAGCAGACAAGGCUGACAGUGCCAACUGCACCUGGAAAUGUUGCUUGUGUCGCUCUGCAGCUGAUUUCCAGUGGAGACAGUUGCCAUGAUUUCCUGUUCCCCUUGAUAUGGGCUAAUUGAGGAUUUUAGCAAGCAUGUCCUUCCUUGUGGAGCAGAAGCCUGACCUUGGCGUUGACAUUGGCUUAAAAGUAUUUUUAUAUUCACCAAUAUUUAUAUUCAAGGCUGCAGAACCAAAUACUGUUAUGCUGUGUGAAGAGAUCUCAGCAAAGGGACACGAGUUAAAGAGGAACGAUUACACUGUAAAAAGUCAUAAAACCUUCCAGGAUUAA